UACGUAGGCGGAAAAUUAAGUCAGUAGUGAAAUCCUGCAGCUUAACUGUAGAACUGUUAUUGAUACUGGUUUUCUUGAAUAUAGUUGGGGUAAGCGGAAUGUGUAAUGUAGCGGUGAAAUGCUUAGAUAUUACACAGAACACCGAUUGCGAAGGCAGCUUACUAAGCUAUGAUUGACGCUGAGGUACGAAAGCGUGGGGAGCGAACAGGAUUAGAUACCCUGGUAGUCC
rnacentral:rRNA from 1 species